rnacentral:rRNA from 1 species
GGCUCAGAUUGAACGCUGGCGGCAUGCCUUACACAUGCAAGUCGAACGGCAGCGCGGGAGCAAUCCUGGCGGCGAGUGGCGAACGGGUGAGUAAUACAUCGGAACGUGCCCAAUCGUGGGGGAUAACGCAGCGAAAGCUGUGCUAAUACCGCAUACGAUCUACGGAUGAAAGCAGGGGAUCGCAAGACCUUGCGCGAAUGGAGCGGCCGGUGGCAGAUUAGGUAGUUGGUGAGGUAAAGGCUCACCAAGCCUUCGAUCUGUAGCUGGUCUGAGAGGACGACCAGCCACACUGGGACUGAGACACGGCCCAGACUCCUACGGGAGGCAGCAGUGGGGAAUUUUGGACAAUGGGCGCAAGCCUGAUCCAGCCAUGCCGCGUGCAGGAUGAAGGCCUUCGGGUUGUAAACUGCUUUUGUACGGAACGAAACGGUCUUUUCUAAUAAAGAAGGCUAAUGACGGUACCGUAAGAAUAAGCACCGGCUAACUACGUGCCAGCAGCCGCGGUAAUACGUAGGGUGCAAGCGUUAAUCGGAAUUACUGGGCGUAAAGCGUGCGCAGGCGGUAAUGUAAGACAGUUGU